rnacentral:rRNA from 1 species
GAUGAACGCUGGCGGCGUGCCUAAUACAUGCAAGUCGAGCGAACGGACGAGAAGCUUGCUUCUCUGAUGUUAGCGGCGGACGGGUGAGUAACACGUGGAUAACCUACCUAUAAGACUGGGAUAACUUCGGGAAACCGGAGCUAAUACCGGAUAAUAUUUUGAACCGCAUGGUUCAAAAGUGAAAGACGGUCUUGCUGUCACUUAUAGAUGGAUCCGCGCUGCAUUAGCUAGUUGGUAAGGUAAUGGCUUACCAAGGCAACGAUGCAUAGCCGACCUGAGAGGGUGAUCGGCCACACUGGAACUGAGACACGGUUCAGACUCCUACGGGAGGCAGCAGUAGGGAAUCUUCCGCAAUGGGCGAAAGCCUGACGGAGCAACGCCGCGUGAGUGAUGAAGGUCUUCGGAUCGUAAAACUCUGUUAUUAGGGAAGAACAUAUGUGUAAGUAACUGUGCACAUCUUGACGGUACCUAAUCAGAAAGCCACGGCUAACUACGUG